AAACUAGAAUUUUCUUAGAAAAUGAAAAAUAUUUUCCACUAGUAUCAAGUAAACAAGCCCCAAAGCUCUGCAGUAUCAUAACGGCUAGGGUUUUACACGGUUCUCGGGGUUCUGAACCGAAUUGAAGAAUUACACCAAAUCGAACUUAUUUUGAUUUGGUUCUAGUUUGUCACUAAGAACCAAAUUGGAAUCUUACUGAAACCAAACUGGAACCAUACAAACCAGAACCGAACUGAGAACCAAAUUUAUACAUAUAUUUUUCAUUUAUUUUUUAGGUGCAUUAUAUAAUUUUAAUAUAAUUAUGUAUAUUUAUAUAUGUAUAUAUAAU
rnacentral:misc_RNA from 1 species